rnacentral:sRNA from 19 species
GCUGCCGCAAAAUCGGCAGUCGGGCGUAGGAACCCGUGUUACUUAUUGGCGACUCAACACGCGCCAUGCGUGUUUUUU